ensembl:ribozyme RNaseP_nuc Nuclear RNase P
GGUAGAGGAAGCUCAUCAGCUGAGUGCUCACAAGCUGAGUGCUCUUCACUCCUCAGCUCCUGGGAUAGUCUGAGACUGGGGCCUCCUAUGAUCAUAACUAGGCUCUCCCCUAGUGGGGAGGUGGGUUCCCAGAGAGCAGGACUCCACGCAUGGGCAGACUGGGAAGAAAUUCAUGUUCAUUGUUGCCCUAGUAUCGGUAUCAAAAUAUCCAGGAAAUGGAAACAGACGAGAUGUCCAUAAACUGAUGAAUGAACAACGGAAAUGCAGUUCCUAUACA